AUAGUAAAUUCGUAAUAAGAAAGAGAAAGAAAGAAAUAAAGAGAAAAAGAGAAAAAGAGAGAGAGAGAAAGAGAGAGAGAAAAGUGAGAAGAACCCCCUGCUGCGUGUUGUCGGCUACCUGGCUACCAGCUAUAUCUUAGAAGUCUGCCUAAGGCCUCGCAUUCAUCAUCGUGGACCACCUCCGGUGACACACGACGCAUCGAGAUUAAAAACAGCAAGUCUAAAUUCAAACCUGAAUAUAGAUGACGAUAUAACAUUCAACACGAUUCGGAAUAUGAUCGGAUGUACUAUGAAAAAUUAGAAACAGAAGUUUUCAAAAAGUAGACACCAAUCGAAAAUGGGAUAAAGAGGAAAAAAAAUUGUUAUAUAUCGAUGAGAAGAGGAUUCGAAGGACUUGAUCCUGACCACCAUGGUGGAUUACUCUCGAUCGUAAAGUAACCGAGGCGCAGAAACUCGACGAAACGUGCAAUUGAAGCGUCGAGCGAGCGUGAUUACCGUCAUCAACGAAGUUCAAAUACCGGUGUAAACGCUUCGCACUUUCGACUCGCUUGGAUAUGCGAUUGUACGAGAUCGUGAGCGGCUAAAACACUUUGAUCAGAAAUUUGCAUU